GACAGAGGGUGCAAACGUUGUUCGGAUUUACUGGGCGUAAAGCGCGUGUAGGCGGCUUGGCAAGUCGGAUGUGAAAGCCCACGGCUCAACCGUGGAAGCGCAUCCGAAACUGCUUCGCUUGAGUCUCGGAGAGGAAGGUGGAAUGCUUGGUGUAGAGGUGAAAUUCGUAGAGAUCGGCAGGAACACCCGUGGCGGAAGCGGCCACCUAGCCCGCACCUGACGCUGAGGCGCGACAGCGUGGGGAGCGAACGGG
rnacentral:rRNA from 1 species